UGGUGGUAAGAGCGCGAUGGACCCACCCGUUCCCAUCCCGAACACGGAAGUGAAACUUCGUAGCGCUGACGAUACUGCAUCUGCAAGGGUGUGGGAAAAUAGGUCC
rnacentral:rRNA from 1 species